UUUGGCCGAUUUCCAAUAAAAAAUGAAUGAAAAAAUUUUGACAGACAAAUUGGAAUGGUUUGUUUACAAUUGGACUGGUUUGUUUACAAUUCGACUGAUUGCAACUGGAUUGCAAUCGUGCAAUAGUACGAUGUUUUAGGUUGAAUUGUUCAAUUAUUGUAAAUCUAAUUUUAAUUAUGUACUUUCUACUGGACUUGUGUAGAAAGUGGAGAAGGGAUUCCGCUAUGAAUAUUCGUGUGUUAUCGUAUUAAGACCCAACAUGUACGAGUUGAAAAAUCGUUACGUCGGAAAACGAUCUCAGGACAUUAACUUAAGUUUGCUGCAAAAUCAUGUGUGUAUAAGCAAUAAGGGAGAGCCGAUAAAGAAGCGGAUGAAGUAGCCAGAUAGUGAGCAUAUGCUGGACGGAAAAUGUAUGCAGCGGCUGGACAUAAAAAAAAUCAUAUCGAACGACACGUUUCUAACCGUAGAUUAACAUCAAACCAGUCUCUAACAGCACGUGAAUUUCAUCACACGAGAUUCUUUCCGUCCAAGAACGGAAUCCUGUGAUCUAGUGAUGGGCGUUUCGGAGCGCACCAACGGCUCCGGACUAACGGGUCCGGAGCCAGCUACGCUCCGACGGCUCCGUAGCCGGCUCCGCUCCAAGGGCUCCGCAACCGGUUCCGGACUAACAGCUCUGCACUCACGGCUCCAUUCCAACAACUGCGGAGCCGGCUGCGAGUCCACUGUUCCAGAGCCGUCGACGAAUCAACGGCUCCGAACUAACGGUUCAAUAGAGACAGCAUUGCAUGCUAGCCUAAUCAAAAAACGAAUAUAUCUUCUCGUGGAAGCUAACACACGAUGUGAUUGCAGUAUUGACAUGUAUGACGUCAUAAUAUUUUUCAUGUUUGAUAGAGGCAGAUAAACCCUAUCCACAUUAUUUCACUUUUCAUACAAAUUAUAUGAUAAAGAGAAGGAGAAA